rnacentral:rRNA from 1 species
AUUGAACGCUGGCGGCAUGCCUUACACAUGCAAGUCGAACGGUAGCAGGUCUUCGGAUGCUGACGAGUGGCGAACGGGUGAGUAAUAUAUCGGAACGUGCCCAGUCGUGGGGGAUAACGCAGCGAAAGCUGUGCUAAUACCGCAUACGAUCUACGGAUGAAAGCGGGGGAUCGCAAGACCUCGCGCGAUUGGAGCGGCCGAUAUCAGAUUAGCUAGUUGGUGGGGUAAAGGCCCACCAAGGCGACGAUCUGUAGCUGGUCUGAGAGGACGACCAGCCACACUGGGACUGAGACACGGCCCAGACUCCUACGGGAGGCAGCAGUGGGGAAUUUUGGACAAUGGGCGCAAGCCUGAUCCAGCAAUGCCGCGUGCAGGAAGAAGGCCUUCGGGUUGUAAACUGCUUUUGUACGGAACGAAACGGUCCUGGUUAAUACCUGGGGCUAAUGACGGUACCGUAAGAAUAAGCACCGGCUAACUACGUGCCAGCAGCCGCCGUAAGAC